UAGGUGUGAAAAUUGCUUUUGCAUUUCAUCUUCCAACUCCCAUGUAGUCUCCUACGGGGUGUGGUGUUGCCACUGUAUUUUCACCAUCGGAAUCCUCUUGUUGUGCAACACCAUGUCGGUCUAUCCUAGUAUAUCUGUCAGGUACUUCGCGUAUGCAAAGUUGGAGCUGAUGGGUGAUGUGAACCCAGGAGGACGUUCUAGUUACCUGGGAGGCAACCAUCAAAUCUCAUGCCAAUUUGAAAACAAGGCCCAGGAGAAGCCUGGACCAAGGAAAGGAGUCGAGAUUCGAUGACAAGGCCCAAUCCAAUGAAGCUCAAGGACCCAGUUCGUGCAAGCUUAGAUCGGGUAAGAUGGAUCAUUGAUGCCAUCAAGACCAGGAAGUCUUAUGGGCUGAUGUGACAACCAGCCUAAAGAA
rnacentral:lncRNA from 1 species